UCCUGGCUCAGGACGAACGCUGGCGGCAUGCCUAACACAUGCAAGUCGAACGGAUACCGAAAGGUAUUAGUGGCGAACGGGUGAGUAACACGUGAACAAUCUGCCUUCUGCUAUGGGAUAACACCUGGAAACGGGUGCUAAUACCGUAUAUGACCACGCCGGGGCAUCCCGGAGGGGUGAAAGCGUUUAAAGCGGCAGGAGAUGAGUUCGCGUCCAAUUAGUUAGUUGGCGGGAUAAAGGCCCACCAAGACUUCGAUUGGUAGCCGGCUUGAGAGAGCGAACGGCCACACUGGAACUGAGACACGGUCCAGACUCCUACGGGAGGCAGCAGUGGGGAAUAUUGGGCAAUGGAGGAAACUCUUACCCAGCAAUGCCGCGUGAGUGAAUGAAGGUCUUCGGAUUGUAAAGCUCUUUAAUCGGGGACGAAGAAAUGACGGUACCCGAGGAAUAAGCCCCGGCUAACUAUGUGCCAGCAGCCGCGGUAAUACAUAGGGGGCGAGCGUUGUCCGGAAUGACUGGGCGUAAAGGGUGUGUAGGCGGUCUGACAAGUCGGAAGUGUAAUACCUUCGCUUAACGAAGGUGCUGCUUCCGAAACUGUGGGACUACGAGUGUCGGAGAGGAAAACGGAAUUCCUGAUGUAGCGGUGGAAUGCGUAGAUAUCAGGAGGAACACCGGGAGGCGAAAGCGGUUUUCUGGACGACAACUGACGCUGAGGCACGAAAGCGUGGGGAGCAAACAGGAUUAGAUACCCUGGUAGUCCACGCUGUAAACGAUGGAUACUGGGUGUAGGGGGUAUCGACUCCCCCUGUACCGAAGCAAACGCAUUAAGUAUCCCGCCUGGGGAGUACGGCCGCAAGGUUGAAACUCAAAGGAAUUGACGGGGACCCGCACAAGCAGCGGAGCAUGUGGUUUAAUUCGAAGCAACACGAAGAACCUUACCAAGACUUGACAUCGUACGGCGACGUCGGAAACGACGUUUUCCCCGCAAGGGGACGUAUAGACAGGUGGUGCAUGGUUGUCGUCAGCUCGUGUCGUGAGAUGUUGGGUUAAGUCCCGCAACGAGCGCAACCCUUAUCGACAGUUGCCAAUAUUAAGUUAGGAACUCUGUCGAGACUGCCGCGGAUAACGCGGAGGAAGGUGAGGAUGACGUCAAAUCAUCAUGCCCCUUACGUCUUGGGCUACACACGUGCUACAAUGGCCGUUACAAAGGGCAGCGAAAUGGCAACAUGAAGCAAAUCCCAUAAAGACGGUCUCAGUUCAGAUUGCGGGCUGCAACUCGCCCGCAUAAAGACGGAGUUGCUAGUAAUCCCGAAUCAGAAUGUCGGGGUGAAUGCGUUCCCGGGUCUUGUACACACCGCC
rnacentral:rRNA from 1 species